GUGCAUUUCUAAAUGGUUGGGUGAGAGCGGCUGAGAGAUGGUUUGAAAAGGAAGAGGAACACUUCUCUAGCUGUUCUCUGGGCCAUGGCCUCCAAACCACCUUGUAGGUCUUGGAUUAAAGAAUCCUGUCGGAUACCCAUUAUCCAUGAACACCAUGACUGAGCUGGCCACCAGAGUAGAGCUCUCCAGUACGAGGUCUACACCUUUGCAGAAAAAUGUGUGUCACUCAGAUUUUUUGCCUGAGUUGGGCAGUCACAAAAGAGAAUUACAAAGAGCUGGACCCACCCGGCACUUGGCUUUAGCGCUGUUUACAACACAACGAGAAGUGAAGCGUUGAGAGACAAUUUUCUGAAUAAUUCAAGAGUUGCGCGUUGGCAUACAUUUUGCCUGGGAAUUCUAGAAGGGAUUAAAAAAAAAAAAAGAAAUUAAAGGGUUACAUUGAUCCAGUGUCAAAGCCAUACGUAUGCAUGGCGCCAUUGUGAAUGCUCAGAUGUAUUAAUGCUAGAAAAUAGGAUUCAAAGCAGUUUGAGAAAGUAUUUGAGAUGUGAGUAACAUCUACAACGGAGGGAAACACCAAAAUAUGAGUGGGCCUCAUCCAGUCCAUCGAAGGCAAGAGAGCAAAAACAAGUUUCUCAGACAAGAAGGAAUUCUACUUCAAAUCUCACCUGCGUUUCUAGCCUGCCAGCCUGCCCUACCAAUUUCAGACUUGCCACCCAAUUAUUGAGCCAAUUUCUUAAAUUGUAUAGAUAUAUGAUUUAUAUAUCAUGUAUAUGAUUAUAUAUAUGAAUAAAUCAUGUAUUUAUUGUAUAGAAU